GCUGCGAAAAGAAGCCCUGGGCAGCAGUCUCAUGAGUUCCAGGAACUGAAGCAGAAGUCCUUAAAUAAAGAUUUUAUUUUUGUUUAGCAAUCAGUGCAAGUGCUUUGUAGCGCAAGAGCUUUUUAUAACAAUCAGGGUACAGCAAUCGACAGCCCUUCUAGCCAGCUGCUCUUUCACCAGAGGUACUUUCCAUGCAGGAAACCUGAUCUUCCAAUCGUGAUUUACAGUACACUCACUCGGCAUUGAUUCAGUCCUUGAUUUCUGUUCUGUACAAUGCAGACAUUCCUUUCCAUGCCUUUGCUAAAGCCAGCGAUUCUUUCAUGUAUUCUACUUGAAUUUCUCUGAAGCAGCUAUGAAGAGUGCCCUGCAUUAGGGCAUUUAGAAAGCAAAGCAAGUUAACUGGACGCCGUCUUGUACUAAUACACUGUACAGCAGGUAAUGUGUUGUACUGCUGAAUGUAAAUGUGUCAAAUCUGCACGUGACUUACCUAUAAAUAUAUUCUUGCGGUAUGCAAUUGCACAUUGUAAUUAUAUUAAAAGAGCACACUAAUAAAAUCAUUUGUAUAGAUUAUAUAUAUUAAAUGCUUGGGUAUGGUUUUUACAUUCUGCCAUAGGGAGUGUCUUUCUUCCUGUUCUCAUACUGUACAUAAAGCUCCAACGCUUACGUUUGUGUACAGUCAAAAAGCACAACAGAGAAGGAUUUGGAUGACGAAUAAUCAUAGUAUGCUUCCACGUUCAUAUAUUAAUGUAUAUAGUUGAUUGGAAUGAGGGCAAUUGAAAUUUUAUUAAUAUUGGUUCCUUCCUCAGUUCUGUCUGCAUAUUAGCUUCCUUUCAAUGUGUAAUUCUAUGAGAAAAAUAGUUCGACAUCUGUAAAAACAUUUCAGCUUUUGAGGGAGGGGGUGCAAAUUUCAUGGCUACUCACAUUACAGGUUGAAGGGAUUUUAUCAUAUGUAUAUUUGUAACAAUAAAAAACGAUUUUACAACUGAAAUA